UACGAAGGGUGCAAGCGUUACUCGGAAUUACUGGGCGUAAAGGGUGCGUAGGUGGUUGUUUAAGUCUGUUGUGAAAGCCCCGGGCUCAACCUGGGGAUGGCAAUGGAUACUGGACAGCUAGAGUGCGGUAGAGGGUAGUGGAAUUCCCGGUGUAGCAGUGAAAUGCGUAGAGAUCGGGAGGAACACCAGUGGCGAAGGCGGCUACCUGGACCAGCACUGACACUGAAGCACGAAAGCGUGGGGAGCAAACAGG
rnacentral:rRNA from 1 species